rnacentral:rRNA from 1 species
CAUGCCCUACGGGGCGCAGCAGUGAGGAAUAUUGGUCAAUGGGCGCGAGCCUGAGCCAGCCAAGUCGCGUGAGGGAAGACGGUCCUAUGGAUUGUAAACCUCUUUUGUCGGGGAGCAAAAGACGCCACGCGUGGCGUUCCGAGUGUACCCGAAGAAAAAGCAUCGGCUAACUCCGUGCCAGCAGCCGCGGUAAUACGUAGGUGGCGAGCGUUGUCCGGAAUUACUGGGUGUAAAGGGAGUGUAGGCGGGAAAGCAAGUCCGCA